CCUACGGGAGGCAGCAGUGAGGAAUAUUGGACAAUGGGCGCAAGCCUGAUCCAGCCAUGCCGCGUGCAGGAAGACGGUCCUAUGGAUUGUAAACUGCUUUUGUACAGGAAGAAACACUCCCUCGUGAGGGAGCUUGACGGUACUGUAAGAAUAAGGAUCGGCUAACUCCGUGCCAGCAGCCGCGGUAAUACGGAGGAUCCAAGCGUUAUCCGGAAUCAUUGGGUUUAAAGGGUCCGUAGGCGGUUUAAUAAGUCAGUGGUGAAAUCUGGUCGCUCAACGAUCAAACGGCCAUUGAUACUGUUAGACUUGAAUUAUUAGGAAGUAACUAGAAUAUGUAGUGUAGCGGUGAAAUGCUUAGAUAUUACAUGGAAUACCAAUUGCGAAGGCAGGUUACUACUAAUGGAUUGACGCUGAUGGACGAAAGCGUGGGGAGCGAACAGGAUUAGAUACCCUGGUAGUCCACGCCGUAAACGAUGGAUACUAGCUGUUCGGAGCAAUCUGAGUGGCUAAGCGAAAGUGAUAAGUAUCCACCUGGGGAGUACGUUCGCAAGAAGAGAAGUAAAGAAGUAGUACGAGUGAGAGAGACGACGACGACGACGAGGAGGAGG
rnacentral:rRNA from 1 species